rnacentral:rRNA from 1 species
AUGUAUUACAAAACAGUCGAUUUGCUUGUCCCGUUCGAUCGCUCUCAUCUGAAUGCCACAUGCAAAAUAAAGAAAGGAGCAAAAACGAAAACAAGUAGGAGUACUGUGCCCUACUUUGACCUUGACCUCGGUGCUGGGGAUAGCCACUGUGCUAUCGUCCAACGAAAGCGUCCAAGAUAUACCUCACUAUCGACUGAGCUGUUACACUCGUUGGCUGUACGUUGGCUGUAUGCAUGGCACCUAGCCAAGAGCCCAAGACGCACUAGUAUUUCUCCAAAUCUUCGUGAACAAAUGCCGUGGAUUCAUGGCCCCUCUUGGUGA